rnacentral:rRNA from 1 species
AUACACCUUACGGGUGGCAGCAGUAGGGAAUAUUGGGCAAUGGGCGAAAGCCUGACCCAGCAACGCCGCGUGUGUGAUGAAGGCCUUCGGGUCGUAAAACACUUUUCUGGGAGAUGAGAAAGGACAGUAUCUCAGGAAUAAGUCUCGGCUAACUACGUGCCAGCAGCCGCGGUAAAACGUAGGAGGCAAGCGUUAUCCGGAUUUACUGGGCGUAAAGCGCGUGCAGGUGGUUCGGUAAGUUGGAUGUGAAAGCUCCUGGCUCAACUGGGAGAGGUCGUUCAAUACUACCGGACUUGAGAGCAGUAGAGGGAUGUGGAAUUCCCGGUGUAGUGGUGAAAUGCGUAGAUAUCGGGAGGAACACCAGUGGCGAAAGCGGCAUCCUGGACUGUUUCUGACACUCAGACGCGAAAGCUAGGGUAGCAAACGGGAUUAGAGACCCCGGUAGUCCUAGCUGUAAACGAUGUGAACUUGGCGUCGGCGGGUUCAAAGCCGUCGGUGCCGAAGCUAACGCGAUAGUUCACCGCCUGGGGACUACGGCCGCAAGGUUAAAACUUCCAAAGGAAUUGACGGGACCCCGGCACAAGCCAGCGGAGCGCGUGGUUUAAUUCGGAUGUUACACGAAAGAACCUUUACCCAGGUUUGACAUGCAAGUGGUAGUGAAGCGAAAGCAGAACGACCCUUCGGGGAGCUUGCACAGGUGUUGCAUGGCUGUCGUCAGCUCGUGUCGUGAGAUGUUCGGUUAAGUCCGCUAACGAGCGCAACCCUUACUGUAUGUUACAUGUGUCAUACGGGACCGCCGGUAUCAAGCCGGAGGAAGGUGGGGAUGACGUCAAGUCAGCAUGGCCUUUAUAUCUGGGGCUACACACACGCUACAAUGGCCGGUACAAUGGGUUGCUAAGCCGCGAGGUAGAGCCAAUCCCCAAAACCGGCCUCAGUUCAGAUCACAGGCUGAAACCCGCCUGUGUGAAGUCGGAGUUGCUAGUAAACGCGCGUCAGCUAUAGUGCGUUGAAUACGU